AGUGAACGCUGGCGGUAGGCCUAACACAUGCAAGUCGAACGGCCGCACAGUAAGAGCUUGCUCUUACUGUUGGCGAGUGGCGGACGGGUGAGGAAUACAUCGGAAUCUUCUUUUUCGUGGGGGAUUACGUAGGGCAACUUACGCUACUACCUCAUACUUCCUACGGGUUAAAUCAGGGGAUCUUCGCACCUUGCCCGUUUCAAUUAGCCGAUGUCGCAUUAGCUAGUUGGCGUGGUAAAGGCCCACCAAGGCGACGAUCCGUAGCUGGUCUGAGAGGAUGAUCAGCCACACUGGAACUGAGACACGGUCCAGACUCCUACGGGAGGCAGCAGUGGGGAAUAUUGGACAAUGGGCGAAAGCCUGAUCCAGCAAUACCGCGUGGGUGAAGAAGGCCUUCGGGUUGUAAAGCCCUGUUGUUGGGAAAGAAAAGAAGCAGGUGAAAACCCCGAUGUUCUGACGGUACCCAAAGAAUAAGCACCGGCUAACUUCGUG
rnacentral:rRNA from 1 species